GCGGAUGUGGUGUAUGGUGCACGACUGCAUGCUAUAGGUAGGGUUGAAAGUGCAUAGACAGGCAGUAAGUCGGGGUUCGACUCCCCGCAUCCGCA